CCUACGGGAGGCAGCAGUGGGGAAUUUUCCGCAAUGGGCGAAAGCCUGACGGAGCAAGACCGCGUGAGGGAGGAAGGCCUAUUGGUUGUAAACCUCUUUUGAUAGGGAAGAACACAAUGACGGUACCUAUCGAAUCAGCAUCGGCUAACUCCGUGCCAGCAGCCGCGGUAAUACGGAGGAUGCAAGCGUUAUCCGGAUUUAUUGGGCGUAAAGCGUCCGUAGGUGGCAAUCCAAGUCAGUUGUUAAAGCGUAGAGCUUAACUCUAUAAGGGCAAUUGAAACUGGAUAGCUAGAGUGCGAUAGGGGCAAGGGGAAUUCCCAGUGUAGCGGUGAAAUGCGUAGAUAUUGGGAAGAACAUCGGUGGCGAAGGCGCCUUGCUGGGUCUGCACUGACACUGAGGGACGAAAGCUAGGGGAGCGAAAGGGAUUAGAUACCCCUGUAGUCCUAGCCGUAAACGAUGGAUACUAGGCGUUGUCCGUAUCGACCCGGGCAGUGCCGUAGCUAACGCGUUAAGUAUCCCGCCUGGGGAGUACGCUCGCAGAGUGAACUUAAGGAAUUGACGG
rnacentral:rRNA from 1 species